rnacentral:lncRNA from 1 species
AGUGUGUGUUUCAGAAGUCCCGGCCCCAGGCAGCUCUCCUGAACAGAGCCACUGGAACUCAGGAGGGUCAGGACCACAGCCCAAACAACUGCGACCGAAAACACCCUACAGGGCUUGAGAACUAAAAAAUAAGGAGGGAUCUGGGCAGCCGAGCUGCCUCCUAAAGAAGCCACGUCAUAGAGAAAACUGCUUGCUCUAUCCAUGAGACGGAGGCGGCCGGGGUGUCCUGCCAGCAGACACGGGUCUGUCCAUCACCGGCCACCACGCUGCCUCUGUCCUUCACUCCCAUUUAAGGGAAAACGAUAUCUCUUCAUCUUUCUGCCCUGGACAUUGGAAAUCAGCGGUGAGAACAGUGCUCUUGCUACAAAAUGCUCAGGUUCUAGAAUGCUCCCAUCUUUCCUUCCAUUCCACAUGGAGUUUAUCCAAAGCACAAAGGCCAGUCACGGCACUGACAUCCGUGGUGCCCGCUCACCGGGGAGUGGGAAGCACAAGCCUGUCCUCAGAGGACCGUGACUGUGAGCCCGCAGCUGCUUGUGGGUGGGGCCAGCCCGCAGCUCCUCCUGGAGGCCUCGGGCUUCUUGCUGCUGCAUUUCUGUGACAUGUGGAGGGAGGAUCGUUUUGACACCUGCCUGGGAAGUUUCAAAGGAGAUGGCCUCUGGGCAGGGGUUUUAAACUGAAGGGCACCACACAGAUCCAGAUGUGAACUGUGGCUGUUGUUUGCAAUUGAAGCAGAGAUGCAGAGGAUGGAACAGGAGUGCUGGCCAUGCUGCUCUAUGGCCUUGGCCCAGCCAAGACCUGCAGUCAAUGGGGCUACGGGACCCCCGCUACACAGGGACCUGGGAACCACCUUUGCCGCGGUUGACCGCUGGGCCCGCCAUGCACCGCCCACACCUGGCUGUGCCUGGAGACUGAGAGCAGGGGGUGACGGAAGAGUCUCUCCCUUUUGCAAACGCCAGCCACAGAGGUUUAUUUUUCUCCCUGAGAGAAGGAAGAGUGAAGGCUGAGACUGAGACAGAAGGACAGAAGGAGAAGACUUAGAAGCCAGUGAGCCCGGAACCACGAGACGCGCUCUGAGGACACGGGGCCUCGGGGAAACCGGGCACGGGCAGGGGUUGGUCUUGGCUUCCCCGCAACAUUGCCGCGAGCUCGGGUGCCGUCUCCACUCGCAGGCUGGCCUGUCCUCUGCAGCCACGAGCUCAGGCACCGUCUCCGUUCAUAGGCCAGCCUGUUCUCUGCAGCCUGAGGUCCCUGUGGUGCCAACAUCCAGAUGCUGAGAUAAUUCUGCCAGGGUGUUGGCUGAUCGGUGAUUGGUGGUUGGCUGUUCCGUGAGUUCUGCAUUGAUCUUGCUGGCUGAGCGUCCAAUGCGGAGGGGCAGGUGCUGUUAGGGUCUCCACUCCCAUCCCUCUCCCCAGGACUCAUCACCCACUGCAA